rnacentral:lncRNA from 1 species
UUUUGGCAGUUCAGGAAAUAUAUAAUGAUAGAUUGGUCUUUUGUGCAUCAAAAUGAGGAUGUUUUCAGUUUUUUUUUUCUUGGGAGGCCUUUUUUUUGCAUUACCAUUACAGUUGUACCUGUCAAGAGGUACCAUUGCCUGCAUGAGAUUGUAGAAUUUGAAUCGUACAUCUUCAUUUUACUUUGAUAACUGGGUUCAACUAGAGGAAAUUGCAGUAUUUAUUAUGGUUGUGGAGGAAUAAUAGAUCUCUCUCUCUCUCCCUCCCUCCCUCUCCCCCCUUGUUUAAAUGAUACUCAACUAAUUUCGAUAGUCACUCUCCUGGACUAUAUGGAUCACUACAGAAGUUUACAUCCACAUAUGCUUGCAAAUUGAAUUGUUAGUAGUGCAUUAAUCACAUCUGAAAUUUGUUUGAGAACGUUCUAAUUAAUCAUACUUUCCUAAAAACAAAUAUUUUAGAAGGACAAAAGUUAUUCUACUUGUUAGUAAAUUAAAGGUUUCUUCAAUUUUUCUGCACCUUGCUGUGCUAGGUGCUAACAUUUUAGUGGAUGCUAGGCAAAUUCUUCAGGGAUCUUCCAGAAGUUCCAAAUUUGACUAUUUUCCUCUAAAACGAGACAGAUCUGCACAAUGAUCUAAGCAAGGCUUACACAUGUGGCAAUUGAUCUUGGUCAGAACCAUGAAAACGUUUAGUUGGGUUUUAAUAAUGCAGAAAUAAUUUUGAUUGGAUUAAGAUACAUAAGAGGUAUUGGGUUAUUAUGAACUUUUUAAUGAAUUGAUUUAGCUCCAGCCCCAAAUCAGUGUCUCAUGGUUUGUACAUUUAGAAAGAUUAUUACUUUAGGUAGAUAAUUUCACAUUGCUAGAAGUGUUAUAGGUGGAUAAGUAUUUCUAUGUACUAGACUCGAUUGGAUAAGGUGACUGAAUUGGAGGAUGGUCUUAUGACUACGGAGAGGGAAAAGAGGGGAGGAGUGAGCUCAAGCAAUCGCGAUGAGUUCGGGGUAGUUUUCCAGAGCUCAAAGUAGAUUAUUUUUUUACUUGGGUAUUUGGGUAUUAACCUAUUAUUUCAUCACCUAAAACCUGCUAUCCAAAUUGUACAUGGUAAAUUUUGACUCCAGAUCUUGAAAUACUAGAGAAAUCUUCGAAGACUCUAGUAUCUUGGAGUACCCAAACACCCCCUUAAUGUUUUUUUUCCUUCUUAGAUUUGUCUGCAUUCAUUUUUAUUUUCUAAGUUUUGAAAUUGAAUAAAAUAAAUAAUUUAACCAUUCUAGGAAUUCAUGGAAUUGCAUCUAAUCUAGAUAAUUUUCUUGAAAUUACCAAGAACAUGUUAUAAACUUGCAAGGUAUCAUACUCUGAUGCAUAUUUUUCUCUUUUCAUUUGACAAUGAUAAAAGUACGUGAUCGGUAGGGUGGUUUAAAUGGAGAUUUUUUGACUAGAUUCAAGGGAUGUGUUGCCGACCAUUUUGUUAAUAUUUUUCUUUGAAAAAUCCUAGCAAAAAAGUAAUAUUAUAUAGAAGUGAAGAUGACGAUUCGUCCAAUCUUACUAGGUCCUCAUUAUGCUCAGUUUUCAUGAUAUGAUGUUUAUGAUGAAAGCUACAGUAUUUCCACUCAUAUGGGAUCUCUGGGAUUGUAUUAUCAGAAUGAAAAUCAGAAUCAUGAAAUCCAUAUAAAUGAAGAAAAGAUCUUGAAUUAUUGACAUGAGCCAUAAACAUUCACUAGCACCAGAGAUAGUCAUUGGAACUUGAUGCUUAUGAACUUUGUAAUAUGGGCUGAUACUAAUUCGUAGUCAGUUCCACUAGGAUGUAAUUGCUCAUUAUCAUGCAAGCCAUCAUCAUAAGGUCUUCUACAUUACACUGUAUCUAAUCUGUGAUGUUGGUUAAAGUGAGUUAUUAAAUCAAUUGUAUGAUUAGCUUGCACACAAGUUACCAAUAUAGCACAUUAUCCAGGUGGAAGCUUAUUUUACUUGCUUCCUUUUUGACUUGUGGCAUAUGUGUUAGUUGUAGCAGAAGUUUAGGUUCACCAGGUUUCUCUGUUGAGAGGCAUGCAUGUCUAUGGUGGAGAACAUAGUUGAAUAAAUUGGUGUUUCUAACUUGAUCAUGUAAGAGCAACCUUUUCACAAAACAAGUUAAAUGACUUUAAAUAACUUGAUCACCGGGUUUCCAUCGAUUUUUGCCGUUUUAGUUAGCCAUUAUAAUUCUGCAAUUAAUUUGAAAAUUGCAAUGAAAUCAUUACUCAGCCACCCCCCCCCCCCACCAACCAAAAAAACNNNNNNNNNNNNNNNNNNNNAGGUUUCCAUCGAUUUUUGCCCUUUUAGUUAGCCAUUAUAAUUCUGCAAUUAAU